rnacentral:rRNA from 1 species
UACGGAGGGAGCAAGAGUUGUUCGGAAUCACUGGGCGUAAAGCGCGUGUAGGUGGCUUGUAAAGCCGGAUGAGAAUUCCCGAGGCUCAACCUCGGAACUGCACUCGAAACUGCCUGGCUCGAGUCCCGGAGAGGGUGGCGGAAUUCCCGGUGUAGGGGUGAAAUCCGUAGAUAUCGGGAGGAACACCAGUGGCGAAGGCGGCCACUUGGACGGUGACUGACGCUGAGACGCGAAAGCGUGGGGAGCAAACAGG